GAUGAACGCUGGCGGCGUGCCUAAUACAUGCAAGUCGAGCGAACAGAUGAGGAGCUUGCUCCUCUGACGUUAGCGGCGGACGGGUGAGUAACACGUGGAUAACCUACCUAUAAGACUGGGAUAACUUCGGGAAACCGGAGCUAAUACCGGAUAAUAUAUUGAACCGCAUGGUUCAAUAGUGAAAGACGGUUUUGCUGUCACUUAUAGAUGGAUCCGCGCCGCAUUAGCUAGUUGGUAAGGUAACGGCUUACCAAGGCAACGAUGCGUAGCCGACCUGAGAGGGUGAUCGGCCACACUGGAACUGAGACACGGUCCAGACUCCUACGGGAGGCAGCAGUAGGGAAUCUUCCGCAAUGGGCGAAAGCUUGACGGAGCAACGCCGCGUGAGUGAUGAAGGUCUUCGGAUCGUAAAACUCUGUUAUUAGGGAAGAACAAAUGUGUAAGUAACUAUGCAAGUCUUGACGGUACCUAAUCAGAAAGCCACGGCUAACUACGUG
rnacentral:rRNA from 1 species